rnacentral:lncRNA from 1 species
GCGUAGCUGGAGCUUCAGAACCGUGCAUAACUGUGCCACUAUAUCCCUGUGGUCUGUUGAAGAAUGAAGAGGAAAACACUUGAACGUUAAAGAGAGAAGAAUCUCCCUGAAUUGAACAAAUGUGUCACUUUUGAAUAAGGAUUCAUGAAAAGGCAGAAAAGGAGAAGAAAAAAGAAUAAAGUCUUCUACAAUAACUGUGGAAUAUGGCCAAGUGACAUGGAGAAGCCUACGUGCUGCUGCAAAAGUGAAAUCUGCAGCAAAAGGAAACAUGUCCUUGAUAAACAGUUCAACUGCCUCUGCUAGAUGGUCAUGGUUCCUGCUGUUACUAUGGGGGUGGUAAGCUGCAAAAUUUCAUGUCUCAGUCUUUUUCCCUCCUGGCAUUAAAGACUUGAAUUCAACAGUUUCUUUCUUCUUUCCUAUUUUCUUUUUUGGGUAGCGCUGGAGAAGAUACAAACUCUCUCACCUUUCUAUAUCCUCUGCUUUCUUUCUUUAGAGUAUUGUAUUGCCUUUUUCAGAAUUAUCUCCU